rnacentral:rRNA from 1 species
CCCUUAGAUGUUCUGGGCUGCACGCGCGCUACACUGAAGCUAUCAACACGUUUUCCCUCCCUGAGAAGGGCGGGUAACCUUUUGAAUCAGCUUCGUGGUAGGGAUCGGGGCUUGCAAUUGUUCCCCGUGAACCAGGAAUUCCUAGUAGACGCGAGUCAUAAGCUCGAAUCGAUUAAGUCCCUGCCCUUUGUACACACCGCCCGUCGCUACUACCGAUUGAACGUUUUAGUGAGGCAUUUGGACCGACGCAUCUCAGUUUAACCGCUGGUUUGUGUUGGAAAGACUUCCAAACUUGAGCGUUUAGAGGAAGUAAAAGUCGUAACA